rnacentral:rRNA from 1 species
GACGAACGCUGGCGGCGUGCUUAACACAUGCAAGUCGAGCGGUAAGGCCCUUUCGGGGGUACACGAGCGGCGAACGGGUGAGUAACACGUGGGUGACCUGCCCUCAGCUCUGGGAUAAGCCUGGGAAACCGGGUCUAAUACCGGAUAUGACUCCAUGACGCAUGUUGUGGGGUGGAAAGCCUUGUGCGGCUGAGGAUGGGCCCGCGGCCUAUCAGCUUGUUGGUGGGGUGAUGGCCUACCAAGGCGACGACGGGUAGCCGGCCUGAGAGGGCGACCGGCCACACUGGGACUGAGACACGGCCCAGACUCCUACGGGAGGCAGCAGUGGGGAAUCUUGCGCAAUGGGCGAAAGCCUGACGCAGCGACGCCGCGUGAGGGAUGACGGCCUGUGUAAC